rnacentral:rRNA from 1 species
AAACCAACAGGGAUUGCCUUAGUAACGGCGAGUGAAGCGGCAAAAGCUCAAAUUUGAAAUCUGGCACCUUCGGUGUCCGAGUUGUAAUUUGAAGAAGGUAACUUUGGAGUUGGCUCUUGUCUAUGUUCCUUGGAACAGGACGUCACAGAGGGUGAGAAUCCCGUGCGAUGAGAUGCCCAAUUCUAUGUAAAGUGCUUUCGAAGAGUCGAGUUGUUUGGGAAUGCAGCUCUAAGUGGGUGGUAAAUUCCAUCUAAAGCUAAAUAUUGGCGAGAGACCGAUAGCGAACAAGUACAGUGAUGGAAAGAUGAAAAGAACUUUGAAAAGAGAGUGAAAAAGUACGUGAAAUUGUUGAAAGGGAAGGGCUUGAGAUCAGACUUGGUAUUUUGCGAUCCUUUCCUUCUUGGUUAGGUUCCUCGCAGCUUACUGGGCCAGCAUCGGUUUGGAUGGUAGGAUAAUGAUUAAGGAAUGUGGCUCUGCUUCGGUGGAGUGUUAUAGCCUUGGUUGAUACUGCCUGUCUAGACCGAGGACUGCGUCUUUGACUAGGAUGUUGGCAUAAUGAUCUUAAGCCAC